GGCGUUACGCCAUAAGUUCAGCACGGGUGAAGAAGGUCGGCAACUUCUUGAAGAAGCACGCCGUCGACAUCAUCCAGGUCCUGUCAGCUCCGGGAGGCCAGAAGCAGGGCGACAACCUGGACACAAAAGCGGCCGACACCGCCGGCCUCUACGUCUUUAACCUCUCCGUCGGCACGUCGGUCUUGCAGAACAUUACCGGCAUCCUGGACAUCACCAGUGAGCUCGUGUGGGCGCAGUGCGCGUGUAGCGCUGACGCCUGCUUGCCACCUCCGGCGACCAAAUUCGAGCCAAGUACGUCGGACACCUUCGCCGGUGUUCCCUGCACGAGCCAGAAGUGCCAGAGCGUGAUCAACCAGCAAUGUGACCCUGACCCCGCGGCGAACUGCACGUACCUUAUGCAAUACAACAACUACACCAAUACGACCGGCUACCUCGGCACGGACACGUUCACGUUUGGUCAGACUCAGGUCCCCGGCGUGGUGUUCGGCUGCAGCGAGGCGAGCUAUGGUGAUUUCUUUGGCGCCUCCGGCGUCCUGGGCUUCAGCAGGGGGAAUCUAUCCCUGGUGUCCCAGCUCCAACUCUCCUGGUUCUCCUACCUCUUGGUUUCGGACACAUCCAAGAGUGUCAACCUCUUGCAGUUCGGCGAUGACACCAUUCCGCAGACGGAGAACAGCCACUCAACUCCCCUUCUCAACAACGAUGAAUACCCUGACCUUUACUUUGUCAAGCUCACCGGCAUAAUGAUCGACGGCCGGCAGCUCAACGGCAUCCCAGCUGGAACCUUCGACAUCCAGUCGGACGGUUCCGGCGGGGUGUUCCUGAGCACGACCUUCCCGGUCACGUACCUCGAGGAGGCCGCGUACAACGUUGUCAAGAAGGCAUUCGUCAGCGGGAUCAUGGCGGAAGCUGUGGACGGCUCGGCGCUUGGUCUAGACCUGUGCUACACGUUGCAACCCAAAGACGAAAUGGCGGUUCCCAAGCUGACGCUGGUGUUCGACGGCACGAACGCGGCGAUGGAGCUCAAGAAGCACAACUACUUCUUCGCCGACAACACCACCAACCUGGAGUGCCUGACCAUUCUGCCAUCCCGGGGCGGGUCACUACUGGGCAGCUUGCUGCAGACGGACACGAGCAUGGCCUACGACAUCGACGGCAAGCGGCUCAUCUUCGAGACGGCAUCUGCGCCGCCACACUUGAAGGUGUCUGUGAUG
rnacentral:lncRNA from 1 species